GUAGGUAACCUGCCCAUGUGCCCGGGAUAACUUCUGGAAGCGGAUGCUAAAACCGGAUAGGUAGCAGACAAGCAUUUGACUGCUAUUAAAGUGGCUAAGGCCAUGAACAUGGAUGGACCUGCGGUGCAUUAGCUAGUUGGUGAGGUAACGGCCCACCAAGGCGACGAUGCAUAGCCGGCCUGAGAGGGCGGACGGCCACAUUGGGACUGAGACACGGCCCAAACUCCUACGGGAGGCAGCAUG
rnacentral:rRNA from 1 species